UUGCUUCUCUUGAGAGCGGCGGACGGGUGAGUAAUGCCUAGGAAUCUGCCUAGUGGUGGGGGAUAACGUUCGGAAACGGACGCUAAUACCGCAUACGUCCUACGGGAGAAAGCGGGGGAUCUUCGGACCUCGCGCCAUUAGAUGAGCCUAGGUCGGAUUAGCUAGUUGGUGAGGUAAUGGCUCACCAAGGCGACGAUCCGUAACUGGUCUGAGAGGAUGAUCAGUCACACUGGAACUGAGACACGGUCCAGACUCCUACGGGAGGCAGCAGUGGGGAAUAUUGGACAAUGGGCGAAAGCCUGAUCCAGCCAUGCCGCGUGUGUGAAGAAGGUCUUCGGAUUGUAAAGCACUUUAAGUUGGGAGGAAGGGUAGUAACCUAAUACGUUGCUACUUUGACGUUACCGACAGAAUAAGCACCGGCUAACUUCGUGCCAGCAGCCGCGGUAAUACGAAGGGUGCAAGCGUUAAUCGGAAUUACUGGGCGUAAAGCGCGCGUAGGUGGUUCAGUAAGUUGGAAGUGAAAUCCCCGGGCUCAACCUGGGAACUGCUUUCAAAACUGCUGAGCUAGAGUACGGUAGAGGGUGGUGGAAUUUCCUGUGUAGCGGUGAAAUGCGUAGAUAUAGGAAGGAACACCAGUGGCGAAGGCGACCACCUGGACUGAUACUGACACUGAGGUGCGAAAGCGUGGGGAGCAAACAGGAUUAGAUACCCUGGUAGUCCACGCCGUAAACGAUGUCAACUAGCCGUUGGAAUCCUUGAGAUUUUAGUGGCGCAGCUAACGCAUUAAGUUGACCGCCUGG
rnacentral:rRNA from 1 species